GGGCCUCUGGGUGCCAAUCCCAUCCGGAAGAGCAGCCGACCAGCAUCUUGCCUUCUGGACACAGCACCCUGGCUGAGCUCUGCCCGCCUGGAGGCUCCCACAGGAUGGCCCUGGGGACUGCUGCUGCACUCGGGUCGAAUGUCAUCAGGAAUGAGCAGCUGCCCCUGCAGUACUUGGCCGAUGUGGACACCUCUGAUGAGGAAAGCAUCCGGGCUCACGUGAUGGCCUCCCACCAUUCCAAGCGGAGAGGCCGGGCGUCUUCUGAGAGUCAGGUAAUGGUGGCUGGAAAGACUUCUGUCUUGUCGUUUCUUUGGGUGGAGUCUUUUUACCUCCACACCAAGUCACUUUAGAGAAAUUACAGCUUUUAAUACUUUCAAACUAUGAAAUUGCACAAGCCUACUUAAUGGAGAUACGUCAUCACAAUAUUUUUUGUGGAAGU
rnacentral:sRNA from 1 species